UCCGAUAUGGUGUAGUGGUUAACAUCGUCCGCUUUCAAUAACUGGCUUCAUAACUGGUUAAGAUGGUCCGGACAGCCCCGGGUUCGAUUCCCGGUAUCGGAA